rnacentral:rRNA from 1 species
GGAGGAUUCAAGCGUUAUCCGGAUUUAUUGGGUCUAAAGGGUGCGUAGGCGGUUUGAUAAGUUAGAGGUGAAAUUUCGGGGCUCAACCCUGAACGUGCCUCUAAUACUGUUGAGCUAGAGAGUAGUUGCGGUAGGCGGAAUGUAUGGUGUAGCGGUGAAAUGCUUAGAGAUCAUACAGAACACCGAUUGCGAAGGCAGCUUACCAAACUAUAUCUGACGUUGAGGCACGAAAGCGUGGGGAGCAAACAGGAUUAGAUACCCUGGUAGUCCACGCAGUAAACGAUGAUAACUCGUUGUCGGCGAUACACAGUCGGUGACUAAGCGAAAGCGAUAAGUUAUCCACCUGGGGAGU